UGCACGGUGGUUUAGUGGAUCACACGUUCGGUUCAAACCUCCAGGGUUGUGGGUUCGAUUCCCGCCACAGCCC